AACGAACGCUGGCGGCAGGCCUAACACAUGCAAGUCGAGCGAGGACUUCGGUCCUAGCGGCGGACGGGUGAGUAACGCGUGGGAACGUGCCCUUUGCUUCGGAAUAGCCCUGGGAAACUGGGAGUAAUACCGGAUGAGCCCUUUGGGGGAAAGAUUUAUCGGCGAAGGAACGGCCCGCGUUGGAUUAGGUAGUUGGUGGGGUAAUGGCCUACCAAGCCGACGAUCCAUAGCUGGUUUGAGAGGAUGAUCAGCCACACUGGGACUGAGACACGGCCCAGACUCCUACGGGAGGCAGCAGUGGGGAAUCUUAGACAAUGGGGGAAACCCUGAUCUAGCCAUGCCGCGUGAGCGAUGAAGGCCUUAGGGUUGUAAAGCUCGUUCAGCUGGGAAGAUAAUGACGGUACCAGCAGAAGAAGCCCCGGCUAACUCCGUG
rnacentral:rRNA from 1 species